ensembl:lncRNA
GUGAGUUGCAUAUUUCAUUCCAUGUAUCUUAACAGCUGUUUUCAUUUCUCUUUGUAGACACAGAAAACCGAAGAGGGCCACUCUCUCGAUACUUUCCACUCUUUCAUCCAGCUCCUAUCCUUGCACUUUGUAGACGUAAGAACCUCAGAGAGCUGAGCUCUCUUGAGAUGAUACAUGGCUUUGUUGCAUUUUCCGUAUUUUGAAAGGAAAACAAGACCUUUUUCCUGCAUGAUCUGCGUUCCCUCCACCCAGAGAAUGCCGUGGUGCGGCUGUGAUGUCUAAUGUUUUGCAUUAUUUUACUUCUGAACCGAUACUGUGUCUGAGAAGGUCCUGCUGUACCUCCCUUAGGAAGGCCCACAGCGCAGCCCUGAGGAGGCCAGCAAGGACAAGAAGCUGGAACAGAGUAAGCCUGGAGGGCUGGCUGUGUGUGUGUGUGUGUUUGACGGGGGGUGCCUUCGUCUCUCUGGGGACUUUCUAAAAGGUCACUCAGACUUUUAUAGACUUUUAUCUUUUGAUCUGUGAUUCUCUGUUCAAAACGCCAUUGAAGCUCCAGCAUCUGCUUCCUCACUAACCCUUUAGAGUUUUUAUUUAAUGAGGCACUGGGUUCUUCACCUUUCCCCCUCACCUAUCCACAUUCUUUUUCUUUUGUCUUUGUACCUCCAUCAUCUCUUGCUUCCAAACAAUCCUUCUCGUCCAAUCAGAUUUCCGGCCUUUCAUUGUCUCCUGUUUCAAACACCCAAACAUUUAAACCUUUUCGUAUUUAGCUCCCCUUUGUACUGCUUUGAUUUAUCUCACCUCUUCAUCUUCCCUUUCUGCCAUCAUUUCCGAGCACAGAGCCACAGAGAGUCCGUUAAAUGACGAGGAUGAGGGACACAUCUGGCUUCCCUGCAAGAGGUAGACUUCUGGAAGAGCCGCUGUGCCAAUCAGUUGGGCAGAUCAGCCAGCAGCUGCAGAAGCCGGAGGGCAAGUUCUCAAAAAGUUCAUUCGUACAUUUAUUUCAGGCUAUACGCCCUAGGAAUUUGUCAGCAUGCAUGUGCAUUAAAAUAUACUCCACUACUGGUGUAUUUCCUUCGUAGUUAUGUGUAAAUAUGUGCAGCAAAAAUGCCAGGUUUAUAAGUGCUGCAAUGUCCAAUUCUUCACUUCACAGUGGUGACUUGUCUGAAAAACAGUCAACUAUUGCAUCGCUGCAGAGUGCUUUGCAGCAUUGUGCAGCUUAGCAUUGGUCACCAGAGGCACGCUGCAAACAUCUGUUUGAAUGGUUCCACAUUAGUGUUGCUUUUCAAUGUAAUGCUUUUCUCUGUGUGCAUGUGCGAUGCCCAUAUGGCGCCAUUUAUAUGCCUAUAUUUUGUCUGUAAUUAAUAGAUGUGCAACUUCAAAGUCCCUUCCACGAGUAAUCAUGUUUUCCACAGAUAAGUCAGUGGAGCGACAAUAACAGACAACCCUCCGCUGUCACAAUUGUCCUUUCAGCUGUAGAUCUUCUCUGUAGUUGGAUAGGUUUUUGUCUUGUUCUGAUGAGGCGUGAUCACCACUGAAGCCCACUCCCACUCAUGCUUGGCGUUCAGACACCACAGUUGCAAUACCCCGAGUCUGAAUGCCGUGAAUAAAGGGCCCUGCCGCUUUUUUCCGUUACCCGAGCCCUUUCAUAUCAAUUGACAGCUCCGCAAGGGGAACAUUUUUAACCUUAAAUAAUUAUGUUCUGAACUCUCGUUGUUGCAAUCAUUUGCUGCCUUGUUACAUGCCGUUUCCUUUCUUCUCUCUUCAUUUUUUGUGUGUGUCCCUCUAUUGUGCUCAUCUUCAUCCUCUUCCUCUCUGCGAUCUCUCUCUCUCUCUCUCCCCCCCUCUGCCUGUCUCUCGCAUUCUCAUUCCUUUGAUAAUACAUCAAGGCGUACUGACUCAAACAAAACAUUUGUUAUAAUUACAUUUCAAGUGUGGAUGUGGCUUCAGUGAUCUGAGCACUCUUGGGGUGAUGCUACUGACGUGCCUUAAAACCUUUCUCCCCACUAAAUGCGCACCUUUUCACCCACGCCAAAGGCGAUGCAGAACGCUCCAUUUCCAGUUGUGGCGAUGGGAGUUAGUUGGCGUGUGAAGUGGAAUUUCAUUAAUCGCUUUAUACUCAGAAUGAGAAGACUAAUAUGGCGUCACAACAUCAGCGGCUCAGCCUAGAGCGUCGAACAUCUGGUUGCAUCUACGUCGUCUGAAUCUUGUCACUUUUUCCGGUGUCGUAAAAAGUUUUUUACGCAUUUAUUAUUUCUCAUAUCUGAGGUAGGAAGGUAAGCUAUUUUACAGCCAUUAAGCUACUUUGCUGGCAGAUAAAAGCAGACUGUCUGCACCGAGUCGACCGUCUGUCUGCAGGCUCCGCUGCCGACCACUCACCUGCAUAUCUGUGUGUGUGUUUGUAUGUUCGACAAAAAGUCAUCUCAGCUCUUGCAGUGUAAUUGUGUACGUUUUCACGUGCUCUCUCUGCAGUGGAGGGGCUUGGAUACGUGUGGCGUUUUACAUCCCAGUUUAUGGUUAGGGGAUCCCCCCUCCACCCCAAGUCUUCAAAUACCUCCACCCGGAGUUUGACCAAACAACAGACAUGGAAAAUGUCUAUUUUCCUCUUUGUCCUCUGAAGCAGCAGCAGCAGAUCACUGAUGUGGUUUUCAUUUGUGACUGAGGUUUUUGGGCUAAUAUUUUCUAAUCAGAGUCCAUUUGUGUCAUGGUAGCAUGUAUGGAUGUCCCCCUCUUUUAAUGUGUAUGGGAUGUGUUUUACACGCUGUCUGUGUGUGUGUGUGUGUGUGUGUGUGUGUGCGCGUACGAGUGAGCAGGUUUUGCAGACUCACUGGGCACCAGAGUGCUGCUAAUUUCCGCCUGAGCGAGGUAGGGCCACUAAAAGUAUCACUGAAGUGAUGAAUGUGCUGCUCGGCGCAGGCAUCAGUGUUUAAUCUGAGUCAUUGGAGAAGUAGCACCGCAUCAACUUCAAACCACUUCCUUUCAUCUGCAGUUAGAGACGGACCCGCAGAUGUGGAGCCUCUCCCGCUCGCCUUGUUUCAUUUCUCCUGCACAUUUUCCGAAUACCAUUUCCUAUGGUGCAAAUGGAUGUAAAACCCCAUCCUUCAUACCUCCGCCCUUAAUGUCUCUGCCGUAGAAAAACGUGUGUCUGGGCGAGUUUAUAGUUUGAACAGUUUUAAGUUUACAGUAUCAACGGGCAUGUGGAUAAGCUCGUCUUUGCCCUCAUGACCGAUUGCAGAGGGAGGCCGAAGUCACGUGACGACAGCAGGCGCAGAUGAGGCGAAAUCUGACGUCGAUGUAUGGCCAGGAUCAGAGGCAGUCAGCAGGGUGCUGGUGAGUGGGAACCAGUGACCCGCCAAAAAGACCAGCCAGAGGAGCCAAGUUCUGUUAAAACGUAUUCCAUGUGGAAGGAGCGGCUCCAGACUCUGUGACGUCAGAACGGACUUCUCCUCCUCCUGUUGGGAGAUAGUGUAGAAGUUUGUAUGCCAUGCAAGUAACACGCUGCAUUUCUUCAUUUUGGUGGUGGUCCCCUGUAAGCUGUGUGGUGGGAAUCUGCCCAAACUGUAACCAAUCUUUUAGUGCUGGGACUUUACCGUUACGACUUGCUUUGUGUGCGUUUACAGAGUUUCUAUUAUUGUAUUUAAAUUCCUUCUUCAUUCGUGAACACGUUUAUUUUUUUGUAGGGGGGAGUUCAUUGGUUUACAUAUUCGUUUGGUUCUAAAUCCACAGAUUUUGUAGUAAUGAACCCAAGGAAACCUCAUUUAUUGGUGGUAUAUUUAGAAGAAUCUUCAGCGCCUAAGACAUUAGUGUGACACUCAUAUAUUUGACUGAAGUGUAAUAUCCGCUCAUGUAAUGCAUGCAAGUGAGUACACAACAUUUAUCAUUUAAAUAUAUUUCCUUAGUCGUGGAUAUUCCCAAACUAAUUUAUAUAUUUUUUUUUCAUUAGCACAGAC